rnacentral:lncRNA from 1 species
GAAGCUCUCCUCGCGGGGCGGGCCGGCCGGCCGCACCCCCGGCCUGGGGCCUCCGGUCGUAGUAAAGCGCAGGCGGGCGGGGAGGCGGGAGCAGGAGCCCGCGGCCGGCCAGCCGAAGAUGGUGGCGGCUACUCCUCCUGUCAUACACGUGGACCUAACUGCACCAGUAGCUUUUCUGAGAAUACUUGCUGAAAAGGAAGUUUUCUGGAAUGGGUAAGUGUAUUCUGAUUUUCUUGAACUUUUCUUAAAAACAAAUUUUUCUUGCUAUUAAAGUUGAAUAAAUAGGAUUGGUUUCUUAGAGAGUAAAAGUAGGUGUUUCUUUCUUUAGACAAUGUACCUUUUCUGAAAAACUAACUCAUUAAGUACGGAUUUGCUAAUUUUAAGGUAGUAAAAUUACAGUGUAAAUAUUCCUGUACAUUUUUGGAAACUGGCUUAUGCAGUUUACGAAAUAUAAUUUUAGACCCUCUUUUAAGUUGGGUGAUAAAGUAGAUAUAACCUGAGAUGAUAGAUUUAAACAGGAUAUUUACGUUCUGCUACAAUUGACUGAUAACACUUGAAGUGUAGUCUGAACAGUAAUUUUGUUAAUCAUUUCAACAAGUAUUUGCUAAGUGGAAGCCAGAAGAGGAGGAAAAUGUUUUGCCACGUGGAUGUGAAGAUUUCCUCUAAAAGGUACACAUGGACUAAAUUGCCUUUAAAUGUUCCAAAAUUAGUUCUCAUUUAUUUGCAGUCUCAUUUUGUUUUGUUUUUUUUCUCUAUGUGUCAAUCCAUUUGGGAGAGGCCAGCCAUUGGAAGAGCCACCACUUCCAGUGCUAGUUGGAUGGUUGGUUAUGAUUGCCUUCUGUAAAGAAUUCUUAAGGCAUAAAUACGUGUCUAAAUGGACCUCAUAUCUUUGAGAUAAUUAAACUAAUUUUUUCUUCCCCAUUAGGGAUUAUGCUGAAUUUGUAUGGUUUAUAGUUGUUAGAGUUUGAGGUGUUAAUUCUAAUUAUCUAUUUCAAAUUUAGCAGGAAAAAAGAGAACAUCACCUUGUAAAACUGAAGAUUGUGACCAGUCAGAAUAAUGUCAAAGUGCUUACAGUGCAGGUAGUGAUAUGUGCAUCUACUGCAGUGAAGGCACUUGUAGCAUUAUGGUGACAGCUGCCUCGGGAAGCCAAGUUGGGCUUUAAAGUGCAGGGCCUGCUGAUGUUGAGUGCUUUUUGUUCUAAGGUGCAUCUAGUGCAGAUAGUGAAGUAGAUUAGCAUCUACUGCCCUAAGUGCUCCUUCUGGCAUAAGAAGUUAUGUAUUCAUCCAAUAAUUCAAGCCAAGCAAGUAUAUAGGUGUUUUAAUAGUUUUUGUUUGCAGUCCUCUGUUAGUUUUGCAUAGUUGCACUACAAGAAGAAUGUAGUUGUGCAAAUCUAUGCAAAACUGAUGGUGGCCUGCUAUUUCCUUCAAAUGAAUGAUUUUUACUAAUUUUGUGUACUUUUAUUGUGUCGAUGUAGAAUCUGCCUGGUCUAUCUGAUGUGACAGCUUCUGUAGCACUAAAGUGCUUAUAGUGCAGGUAGUGUUUAGUUAUCUACUGCAUUAUGAGCACUUAAAGUACUGCUAGCUGUAGAACUCCAGCUUCGGCCUGUCGCCCAAUCAAACUGUCCUGUUACUGAACACUGUUCUAUGGUUAGUUUUGCAGGUUUGCAUCCAGCUGUGUGAUAUUCUGCUGUGCAAAUCCAUGCAAAACUGACUGUGGUAGUGAAAAGUCUGUAGAAAAGUAAGGGAAACUCAAACCCCUUUCUACACAGGUUGGGAUCGGUUGCAAUGCUGUGUUUCUGUAUGGUAUUGCACUUGUCCCGGCCUGUUGAGUUUGGUGGGGAUUGUGACCAGAAGAUUUUGAAAAUUAAAUAUUACUGAAGAUUUCGACUUCCACUGUUAAAUGUACAAGAUACAUGAAAUAUUAAAGAAAAUGUGUAACUUUUUGUGUAAAUACAUCUUGUCUUGUUUUCAUUCAAAAACAUUUCACUUUUGGGGUUGCGUGUCAGAUUUGGCAGUAUAAAUUCUGGCUAUAUUUUUUGUUGUUAGAUUUAUUUGGCUGUUAAGUAUUGCGAUAUGACUAAACAUACUGUAUACCUGAUGAUCAUCUGUAAAGUUAGAGUAUAUCUUUUUGCUUUCUUUGGAGUUAGUGUUAUUCCAGGAUAUUUUACUUAAUCUAAAAGUUAAUUUAUGUUGCUCAUAUAUUACUCAAGUAUUUAAAUUUAGAGAGAAUGCCGCUCUGUUUAAAGCAAUGUGUAAAGAUGAGUUUUUUUAAGCAUGGAAUUUAGGGUUGGGGUACAAUUUGUUUCUAUUAAGCAAGUACCAGUUUACCAAUACAUGAGUAACUGAAGUGUAACUGUUAAAUGCUUGUAUACUAGUUUUUCUUUCUGAUUGUCAGUGAUUUAUAAGCUAUAAAUGACCAAGGUCCUCAGACUGCUUUUAGCAUCUGCAACUUAAAAAAAUGGGAGUUAGAAAAAGAACAAAUGCUAAAUAGAGUAACAGUUAAAUGUAUGUGUACACUCUUCCCAAAUGCCAAGAGUGCAGCGGUGGGGUGAGAUUCAGAUAUUCAUUUAUUUCUAAGUCUGUAGUUAACAUUUAUGUUCCCUACUCCCUACGUAAGCCAGACUUUGGCAACAGUGAUAGUUGAUUCCAGGCUUAUUUGACUUAAAGUCACUGAAGUGGAAACUAAGAAGUGGCAGUUAGUGUUUUACCCAGCAUUUCUGCCUUCUCUCUUUUCUUCAUGUGUUUUUGUCUCUAGCCUAUGUGUAUUUGUGUAGAAUAAUGUGGGAUACCUGAAUAAUAGAUUUAAAAGGACCAAGUGGUAAAAUUGGGCCCAAGCUGAAGUACAGGCAAACUUGAUGUUUGAAAGAUAAGUUUUGAGAAAUGUCAUUGUAUUUUGGAGUAAAAGAGGCUAUCUUAGUAAUAAGAAAUAAACUUCCAUAACACUAGGUUAGACCACCCAAUAAAUCUAGAAAUCAGCUUUUAAAAAUAUUGUCUGAAGUCUAACAAAAGUUUUCACCUCUAAUGUGUUCUUUAAGAAAUUUAAGGAACUUAGCCUUGGAUUCCUGAAUAGAAAGGUAAGAAUUCUAUCAUUCUGGAGUUGAUGAAAACAUAAAUUUUCAGGAUGUGAAAUGAACAGUGAUUUAUAAAAUGGAAAUCAAAUUGUACAUUAGCAGAGUUCUUAAGCUUUUUGAAUUGAAGGAGACCUAAUAAUUGUGUCUUUUUGGUUAUUUAGUGACAAACGUGGCUUUCAAACUAUGCUUAAAAAGUUCCGGCUGGACACGGUGGCUCACACCUAUAAUCCUAGCACUUGGGGAGGCUGAGGCAGACGGAUUACCUGAGGUCAGGAGUUCGAGACCAACCUGGCCGACAUGGUGAAACGCUGUCUCUACUAAAAAUAUAAAAAAUUAGCCGGGUGCAGUGGCGUGCACCUGUAAUCCCAGCUACUCUGGAGGCUGAGGCAGGAGAAUCACCUGAACCUGGGAGGUGGAGGUUUCAGUGAGCUGAGAUCCUGCCACUGCACUCCAGCCUGGGCGCAAGACCAAGACUUAAACGCAAAAAAAAAAAAAAAAAAAAAAAAAAAGUUUCAUAAUACAGCAUGGUCUGGUAGUUUGCAAAAUGGUGUGCUUUUGGGGAGAUACACUAGCAAUUUUUUUAAAAACUGGAACAGUGUGAUAGGAAGCCUGCUGGAUGAUUUCUUAAAUAUUCUAAAAUGUAAGUCAAAUAUGUUUUAAUAACAAAGACUUAAAUGGCUUUUCUCCCUAGAGACUGAAACUAGUAUUCAUUGUGUUCAGAACUUAAUUGGGCUUGAACUGAGAUUUAAAUCUAAUAAACAAGUUAAUAAAUGUGUAUGUUUUGUUGUGGGUUUGGUAGUGAUCUGUGGUUCUAUAGGGUUUAAUAGGAAUUGCUUUUGAUUUGUUUCUGGCUUUAGAAUGUGAGGCAAAUUUUACAUUCUUGGUUCUAUUAAGAUUUUCUUAGGCAUGCUAACAUGCCAACAAAAAGCCAUGUAAGUAUUGUAUAAAAAGAUUCACAUUGUUAAUUUAGCCAUUUUGAAAUUCAGAUGAGUGAGCAAGUUGAUAAUGGCCUCAUCUCUGACCUGAGAAAAAACAACUUUGACCCUUGUUCUUAAAAUGCUUUAACCUUGAAGUUGCUUGAGACUUAAGAGGUCAUGUUGCUUUAGGUUUAAUAAAUAGCCUUAACUAUUUGGAGGGGAAAAAAUGGGUCAACUUUUUUUUUUUUUUUUGGCGUUUGCAUGUACAACUUUCUAUUUUUAGCCUAUAUUUGGAAAGAAAGCACUUAACAUUUUAGGAAUUCUUUUUAAAGCUGCUUGCAAAGUGUUGGUGAUUUUACUGAAAACUUUUGAGAUCUUCAUUUUACAGGCAGACCUGUCUAACUACAAGCCAGACUUGGGUUUUCUCCUGUAGUUUGAAGACACACUGACUCCUGACAAAAUGCAGCCUGCAACUUCCUGGAGAACAACUCAGUGUCACAUUAAAGUUUAUUAUGUAUUUAAUGAUACACUGUUUAAUUGACAGUUUUGCAUAGUUUGUCUAACUUUAGAGAAUUAAGAGCCUCUCAACUGAGCAGUAAAGGUAAGGAGAGCUCAAUCUGCACAGAGCCAGUUUUUAGUGUUUGAUGGAAAUAAGAUCAUCAUGCCCACUUGAGACUUCAGAUUAUUCUUUAGCUUAGUGGUUGUAUGAGUUACAUCUUAUUAAAGUCGAAAUUAAUGUAGUUUUCUGCCUUGAUAACAUUUCAUAUGUGGUAUUAGUUUUAAAGGGUCAUUAGGAAAAUGCACAUAUUCCAUGAAUUUUAAGACCCAUAGAAAAGUUGAAGAAUGCUUAAUUUUCUUAUCCAGUAAUGUAAACACAGAGACAGAACAUUGAGAUGUGCCUAGUUCUGUAUUUACAGUUUGGUCUGGCUGUUUGAGUUCUAGCGCAUUUAAUGUUAAUAAAUAAAAUACUGCAUUUUAAAGCUGUUAAGAAAUUGUCCAGAACGAGAAUAUUGAAAUAAAAACUUCAAGGU